UGCAGCCGGGUAAGUGCUACGCGACGAGCUCCUUGUAAAUCCCCCAGGUCUUGACCGAAGCAAGGGUAGCAGGUCGAGCAUGUGUGAUGUGGUGAGCUUACCCACCU
rfam:Prevotella sp. CAG:485 genomic scaffold, scf109